GCUAGCAAGAAUAAUGAAAAUCACCACAAUUUUGAAAACCCUAAUCAUAUUUAUAUAAGUCCAAACGGGCUUGGUCUGACCUGGUUCAACAUUUAAUUAACCCAUUUAAUUAAAUCUGGUUCAUGAACUAAUUAAUCUAAUUAAUUAAUUUGGGCCAAUAAAUAUGCAAGCCAAUUAAUUAAUUUAUCCAACUCUUGUUAAAUUAAUUAAUUGAUAAAUUACAAUCUUCCAAUUUUUCUUUUGUGUGCGACCCAUCAGGUUCCCGAUCAUUAUGCCCAACGAAAAGGAAAAUAUUAUUUUGAUCUAACCAAAAUUGAUAAAUUAAUACACCCUUUUAAUUUAUCACCAAUUUACACUCGCCGUCCCGGAUUGAUAUCUAGCAAUGUGUCACGUUCGUUUACCGUGAAACUAUAAUCCCUUCAUUAAUAUGAUCCGAUCAAUUACAAGGUAUGGAAGUGUGCCAAUCUAGAUUAUCGAUCAUAUCUUUCACUCCACUAUUAAGUCAAUAUAAGUCAAAAACUUCUUUUCGACUUAUAAGUACACCUUGGCCAAGAAUUUCAUCAUCGACUUAAUUGAAUGAAACACAUAUCAUAAUCUCCUAUUAUCUAAGAGUGACGAAUUCUUUAUUGGUCAAUCACAACUUUUAUACAAUUCUUGACGUACCCGAACGAUAUCGUAUUAGCGACCCUUUGCAGAGCAAUAUCCAACAUCGCUAAAGUACGACUGUCCUCAUAUAAGGUACCAUGAUGACCUCAAGUCGAAUGACCAAUUCCACUACUGAACAUUAGAGAUUAACCACCGACACUCAAAUAGUUAUCCAUGUGGAAUCUCUCGGCGGGUCUCUAAUAUUUUGUUCUAUAACAAAACAUCCACGUGUUCAUUUAAGUGUCACCACACUUUAAUUUGUGAGGUCAGCUACUUACUUCACAAGUAAGAAAUGCCACACGUUAUGGUCUGUCCAUAAUAAGAUAUCCAUAUCUCGUUAUUACAUACGACCAUGGACGAUCUAAGAUUUAAUCAUAUGUAAUUUGUAUCUCACAAUCACAAAUCAUUGUGAUUAACAAAUUAUGAAGAUUUGAAUCUACGGACUCUAUUAUUUAAUUUAAUUGUCUAAUAAUUAAAUAAUAGAUUUGCCAUUAAAUUGCAUUAAUUAUAUAUCAAAAGAUUUAUGUCCAAUGUUGAUUGGACCUAGGGCAUAACACUUACAAACUCCCACUUGCACUAGAUCCAAUCACUUAUGUAUCCAAUAUCAUAAGAGUCUACAUGACGAUCAUAUUUAAGCUACGACAACUCUUUGUCAGUGGAUCUGCAAUAUUGUUAAAUGUGGGAAUUUGUUCUUUUCUCUACGUCAUUUCAAUGUAUUAUUUCUCUGAUAAGAUUAUUCCGCCUUAAUACAUGUUUGGAUCAUUGAUGAGACCUUAGUUCCUUUGCUUUCGCGAUGGCUCUAUUGUUAUCAAAAUAAAAUGGCAUGUGAUCAACAAUAUCAGGAACUACUCUAAGUUCAUUUAUGAACACCAUGAUCCAUAUUGCAAAUCUUUGCUACUUCUGAAGUAAUCAUGUAUUAGGUUUCUACUAUUGAAUCAAUGGUUACUUCACGUUUGGAACCUUUCCAACAUUCCGCUUGAGAGAAAACCAGUUUCUCCAUAUGAAAUAUUCUCAAGAUUUCAUCUAUGUAAAUUGGGAUGAAUUAGACAAUUUUCUAGAUCUCAUGAAUAAAUCCUUUAACAACUAUUAUUUCAAAGAUUGAAACAUAGGGAUGUCAUUUUCUAUAAUAUUAGGAAUACGACAAUACUCUAAAUAUCUUCUUAUAAACAACACAAUUUAGUCUUCAAAUUUGAUAAAAUCAAACACUUUGAUUUUUUUAUCAAAUCAAAGAUUCCAGUUCCUAGAGACUUCUAUUAACCUAUAGUCACGGUAUGCAACGAUUGCAAGCAAAACCUGAAUGAACUUCAGCAAUGAUACAGGAGAAAGGUUUCACCAAUGUCAACAUUUAACCUUUGCUUCUAGCAUUGCUUUGUAUAUAUGGAUAUUCUCAUCCAUAUCGACAUUUUUCUUGUAACCUAUUUACAAAUUUAUGGGUUUUAUUCCAUCAGGAGGCUUGACCAAGGUCCAAACCUUGUUCACAUAAGUCGAGUUCAUCUCGAGUUUCAUGGCCUCUUGCUGUCUCUUUUAAGUCAACAUUUGACUUUAUUUUGGCGCAACUAGCAGGUUCAUUAACCUGGAUCAGUAAUCAUGGAUUCACACCUUCUUGAAGGUUGAAUGAUCCUACUGGAUUGACAGAGAGUUGACAUGUCCUCAGGAGUCUUUACUUCCUGAUCAAGAGUAUAUCCCAUAUUAGAUAUGAGAUCAAACUCGGAUUCAUUUACUUGGCUAACUAUAUUUGUGGACUCUUGAACUCUUUCAUAUUCUAUGUUGCUCACACUGUCCUACCCUAGAGUAAACAUUUUCUCUAAAAAGACGAUAUGUCGUGAGAUAAAGACUUUCUUUACAAUAAUAGAAUUUAUAUUCAAAUAUCUGCUUUGAAUAUCACACAAAUAUGUAUUUAUUGGAUUUAGUCUCAAACUUAUCCGAUUAAAGGCGCUUCAAAUAAGCGUUAUGGCCCAAAACUUUCAUAUGAGAUAAAUUGGGACUAUUGUCUUUCCAUAACUCGUAUGGAGUUCUGUUAACCAACUUAGAUGUGACAUGUUUUAGUGUGUUGCACACUGCAAUUAGUGCAUGACCCCAAAACGAUUUUUGGAGAUUUGCAUGGCUUCUUUUUAAUCGCACUAUAUCUAAUAGUUAAUGAUUCCUCCUUUUAGAUACACCACUAUGCUGGAUGUACCAAUUGGAAUUUCACUCUAAAAACUUCUAUGCAAUAUUUCAUUGUUGUUGAAAACAUCCAAUAAUAUCCAUCACAAAAGAAGCUCACAAAUCAAAAUCUACAUAUAUGAGGAUCUCAACUAGUAAAGUAAAAAAAAGGUUCCCUUCUUUUGUUGAAACUUUAUUACUGGUGAAAAUCAUGUCAAAUAAAAAACACUGACAUAUAGGUCCUUAUAAUCUCUCUAAACCUUACUUUUAACAUUUAAAUAUUAUCAGGUUUGACAGGGACGCAGAGGGAUCAGACAUCUACAGCCUUUCCCUUUCGCAAAAAGCUAUUAAUCUAUUAUAUUGUGCAUAUAAGGUCUGCUCAUGCUUUGAACAAAAUAUCAUCUUGGUAUUUGUAACUUUUUGUGGCAAAGUUUUGCCAAUGUACUAGUUAUCUCAGCCAAUAUCUUCCCAUUGUUAUAUCAUCUUGAUAACUUCGUGUUUCCUGACACCAUAACAUGGUGUGUCAUAGCGAGAUUUGAGUAUAUAGACAAUGUUGAAACCAUUAUGAGAAUAGUCAAAAUGACAGAAUCCUUUCAAGUCCUAAGUGCUCUUUUAAAAAGGUUUCAACUUCAGAAGACUAGCUAAUAAUAAGAAAAAUAAAAAAAAACCUCACUUGAGAUGGAUAUCACCAAAAAACACAGAUUUAUAAAUGUCAUUACAAAUGAGAAUCAAACCUAACAACUACUAAUCCAUUCACAAAUCCACGUAUCUUGUGCCUGCAUUGCCAGAUUCCUCUCACUCCUUACCUCGAAACUUCCAUUCUCACUAGGAAUGCUCAAAGGAGAAAUGUAAUAAUUCACAAUGUAGCAAGCAAUUAAAAUGUUACAUUCUUAAAUACUUUGAGCAGUAGAUUGAUGUGUAGAUACGAGUAACACAGUAAGAAUUAGCCUACCAAUUAUUUUUACAUAAACACAAUAUAUUCUCUUCUAGUAAUUUUCUUGUUACAGAAAAUCAAUUGAUCCUUUCUAAUAGAACAGUCUUGUAGAAUUCUUUAUUCAUCAAUUUGAAUCCACCCCUUCCUUUUUCUCCCCCAAAUAAUAAAAAUUAUCAAAGACUUCAAAUAAUAGUUCAGUGAUUGCAAAGUGAAAGUUCUAAUUAACCGAUUUAUUUAAAUCCAAUGAGCGGAAUUACAUAACUAAAAGCAACAAGUCACUUUUAAUUGGUUUGGGUCAUUGGUCAAUCAAGUUCAAUUAUCUCAUGGUUUGAAUGCCACGAUCAAUAAUUAAAACAAUAAAGAAAACCAAAGAUGACGACGAAGAAACCCCAACUUGGUAAAAACUCCGGACACUUUGCCGGUCAAUAAUCCACUAUAAAUCGUAGCAAACUUACAUUGCGGACCAAGCCCGUCUAUUCCGUAGAACUUUUGACCUUAAUUCCUGAAGUCUCCCUUGAUCUUAAUGGAGGUGUGCUUCUUCAAAACAAAUUCCGACUUCUAUUUUAUUCCUUAGCCCUCCUGGACUGCGUGCUUUUGACGUCAAAUCCUGGCUCCAAGUACCUCACCUUAGUCUUCCUGAAUUUGUGCUUCUGCAACAGUUCCCGAUCCUUGGUAUCGAUUUAUCUUUUGUAGGGAUUAAAUGAAGAAUUCCUCGUUCUUCCAAUGGAACCUCAUUCCGUAGCACUGGAAGUCCUAGCGCCUCUUCCUAAAACUCUAGUAAUUCCAAAAGCUAAUUGGGGAAGGUAGGUUUGGUGUUUGAUCAAUGAUCUUAUUUAUCUAAGAAUGUGAAAAUAUUUGGCUCAAUAUAUAUCUUAAUUAAUGAAGUAAUUUAUGGUUUAAAGAAAUAUCUUGGCUCAGAAAGAUAUUAUGAAAACAAUGAUAUGAUUGUUGAAUCUAGAGAUCAAAGAAUGAUGAUUUGGAUCUUCAAGGAACUAACUCUAUGAAGUAAUAUGAUUCAACAUACUUUUGGAAGUUCAUUAAAGGGGAAAGUAUUUGAGAUGAAAAGGAAUUGAAAAAUCAUUGUUUGAAGCAAAACAGAAUUCUGGACAUCGACCUCGAGCGCUAGGCUAAUGCUAGGUGAGUGACAGCUGAGCAGUUGUCAGUAGUUUCUUCACAACUUUCUCUCUCAAAAUUGGAUUGAGGGGAUUCAAAAUGCGUUGAAAAAAUGGCUCAAAGGGCUACAAUUUUUCUAGAAAUAACAUUCUCCAAAUUCAAAUAUUUCUAUGUGAAAAAUAGUUACGACUAAAAAUUUGGAGCAUAACUCAUGUGGCUCCUUGAUAUCAUUUAGACUUAUAAUUGCAUUCCCUUGAUCAUAUUUGAUCUUCUUGGAUAUCUUUGAUAUCUUGAACUCUUUCAAGACCUAUUCUACCAAUCCUCAACUAUUUUGACUUUGAUUAUAACUCUAUAAACACCUAGUACAUUUCAACUAGGACUUUGAUUUUGACUUAGGAAAU
rnacentral:lncRNA from 1 species